ensembl:lncRNA
CUCACACACAUCACACACACGCAAAGACACAUCAAGGCAACAGACGCGUGCAUCAUCGGCUGUACCUUACAGAUAUCAGCUGUUAUCCCUGUCUAGCAUCAGUCCCCAGGCGCUAUGCUAACAGUCUCCUCUACAAGCCAAUUUACAAGAAUUCCGGUCAUGUUUACAUUAGCCCUCUCCCAGUGCAUGAAAAGAGCAGGCGCGAGCCGCGGAAUAGAAAUGAGCAAAUAUGAAUAAUUCAAUCCUUCCGGCCAUUAACACGUUUCCCUCGAACAAAGUGAUAAUAGGUUAUCAUCUGUGAAAUGGAAAUUUCAUAAACCAGGCCAGGAGAAGACCGUCUCCGGUUACACCAGAGGAAAUUAAUUUCACAGCACAUCUGCUUCGCCAGAGCCCCGACCCUCUAACGCUAAGGGGAGUGCCGCAAAGCUCUGCUCCUCCAUCAAAAGCCUUACAGCCACGGAGGCCCGGAGGAUCAUCAACAAUGACAGAAUCAUCAAAAUGCCUUUUUGAGUCCUGCGGGGAGGAAGAAGUGCAGCUUCGGGCCCUAGUCACGGUGGCCUCAGAGAUAGGCCGCCCAGGAUAACAAAGCAUGCACUCAGACUGGGACAGAGGAGAUAAAACCGCGGCAGUGUCGGCAUAAAUCCGUCAUUCCCGUGUGCUUGUCCCGCGAUGCGUCAAAGAUGCCACAAGACAUUACUUAAAUGACGCCUGUAGGUGCAGCGCUUCUGACAGAGUGUCCCCUCUCUGUUCAAUUUGAAACGCAUCAAAUCCUCUCUAAUUCCACAUUUGGGGCAGAGUGGGACCAGAAGACAGCGCAUCUAAGUACAUUCAGUGCGGGUCCGUUUUCAGGAGUGGAUGUAAAAGUCCUGAG